GAUGAACGCUGGCGGCGUGCCUAAUACAUGCAAGUCGAGCGAACGGACGAGAAGCUUGCUUCUCUGAUGUUAGCGGCGGACGGGUGAGUAACACGUGGAUAACUUACCUAUAAGACUGGGAUAACUUCGGGAAACCGGAGCUAAUACCGGAUGAUAUUUUGAACCGCAUGGUUCAAAAGUGAAAGACGGUCUUGCUGUCACUUAUAGAUGGAUCCGCGCUGCAUUAGCUAGUUGGUAAGGUAACGGCAUACCAAGGCAACGAUGCAUAGCCGACCUGAGAGGGUGAUCGGCCACACUGGAACUGAGACACGGUCCAGACUCCUGCGGGAGGCAACAGUAGGGAAUCUUCCGCAAUGGGCGAAAGCCUGACGGAGCAAAGCGGCGUGAGUGAUGAAGGUCUUCGGAUCGUAAAACUCUGUUAUUAGGGAAGAACAUAUGUGUAAGUAACUGUGCACAUCUUGACGGUACCUAAUCAGAAAGCCACGGCUAACUACGUG
rnacentral:rRNA from 1 species